rnacentral:rRNA from 1 species
GACGAACGCUGGCGGCGUGCUUAACACAUGCAAGUCGAACGGUGAAGCUCCAGCUUGCUGGAGUGGAUCAGUGGCGAACGGGUGAGUAACACGUGAGCAACCUGCCCCAGACUCUGGAAUAAGAGCUGGAAACGGCGUCUAAUACUGGAUACGAGAUCAAGCCGCAUGGUUAUGGUCUGGAAAGUUUUUCGGUUUGGGAUGGGCUCGCGGCCUAUCAGCUUGUUGGUGAGGUAAUGGCUCACCAAGGCGACGACGGGUAGCCGGCCUGAGAGGGCGACCGGCCACACUGGGACUGAGACACGGCCCAGACUCCUACGGGAGGCAGCAGUGGGGAAUAUUGCACAAUGGGCGAAAGCCUGAUGCAGCGACGCCGCGUGAGGGAUGACGGCCUUCGGGUUGUAAACCUCUUUCAGCAGGGAAGAAGCGAAAGUGACGGUACCUGCAGAAGAAGCACCGGCUAACUACGUGCCAGCAGCCGCUGUAAUAC